AGUGGCGAACGGGUGAGUAACACGUAGAUAACCUGCCCUUAAGACGAGGAUAACCAUUGGAAACGAUGGCUAAAACUGGAUAGGAAUAUUGGAGGCAUCUCUGAUAUUUUAAAAGGCCUAGCAAUAAGUAUGCUUAAGGAGGGGUCUGCGGCGCAUUAGUUAGUUGGUGAGGUGAUGGCUUACCAAGACGAUGAUGCGUAGCCGGACUGAGAGGUUGAACGGCCACAUUGGGACUGAGAGACGGCCCAAACUCCUACGGGAGGCAGCAGUAGGGAAUUUUCGGCAAUGGGGGAAACCCUGACCGAGCAACGCCGCGUGAAUGACGAAGUACUUCGGUAUGUAAAGUUCUUUUAUUGGGGAAGAAUGGCUAGCGGAAAAGCUAGAUUGACGGUACCUGAUGAAUAAGCCCCGGCUAACUAUGUGCCAGCAGCCGCGGUAAUACAUAGGGGGCAAGCGUUAUCCGGAAUUAUUGGGCGUAAAGGGUGC
rnacentral:rRNA from 1 species